UGGAAUAUCGGCGCUCCCCAAAAGAACGCAAGUCGUUUGAGUGGCAGUGAACUUAUUUUACAAAUCGUUAUUGUAAUCACUUUGCUGGACUGUUCCGAAUUUUUGUUCAUUGAUUCUCUUUCUUUUCGUUUUCUUUUACUUUAAGGCUCUAUAAACGUUGCAAUAUUCGGUGAAUUUUAAUAUCAUAUCAUUGACUCCAUCUAUGUAUGCAAUCAUUACAGAUUUUCUUUAUCAAAGUUGUGGUGAGUGUGCGGAAUAGGUACUCGCAUAAGAGUUACCAUUAUAUAUGUAUAUAUUAAUAUAUGCAUAAUGUUACAGUUUUAGAAACGAGUUCACUAAAUAUAUCGUUACGUGUGAGAAUGAAUUAUAGUAAAAUUAAAUCUGUCUUUUUUUUCUGUUGGUAUGGAGAAAGUGUUUCUCGAAAGCACUUCGAACACCUACACGUUAGGUUAUUUUAGACUUCAGAAAACAAGAGAAACAUUUUUCGUCGUUUCGCUGAUUUUAUACGCAUAUGUGAUAUAACUGAAUUUCAUUAGAAUAUUUAUCUAACGGCGCUAAUUGUAAUUUUAAUCCUGGCGAAGAACAGUAUGUAGUGUUUCCGGUCGAUGGCCGCCACAGUCGAGUUAUGCCCGUCAGUACAAACGGUUUUAGUGUCGAAAGAGGUAAACAUCGCAUGGACGACACAAUCAGUUCCCAUGUAAUGCUAUCUUAAUAGGGAAUCGGAUAUACUAUAUCGAAUAGUAUAGGAUUAUCAUACAUUUGCUUAUGCAACGACGUGGAUCUUCGUCGAGGGCAUCGAUUCAACAUGCACCGACGUCGUAGAACCAUGAGAAAACAGUAUCGCGGCAUAUCAACAACUCAUCGUCAACGGCAAACUGGAAGCAGCAACAACUGUAGUAUCGCCGGGCAGAUAGCUAGCCCUAAGAGUACCGGCCAACCCUCAUUCGUCCCAAGGAUUUGCUCGAUGCCCAGCACCUGGGAGACCAGGAGACCCACCGUAACAGCGAGCUGGUUCACCGUGCCUAGGCCGCCUCUCAGGUUCAGUGGUGCUAUCUCCGAUAUGUACAUGGGAACCAACGAGGUGUUCAAGCCACAAUUGACACCGAUGAUGAACCGUCCAAAGAACAACAUUUCGUACGAGUGAGCAAUCUUUGUACAACCCAUCAGGCACGCCCCCACGAUGCCCAGCACGUUGUUUAGCAGUAAGCCCCCCUUUCUGUUGGCGGAUAGAACGAAAAAACAGAAAAACAAAGUGGACGAUGUUAAUGGCCAGUUUCAAUGAUCCAUCAGUUACCUGACAGAGCGCGCUAGCAUUUUUUUCGUAACGAUGUAGCUUUGCGUAAUACACAAUUUGCCUAGCUUUGUAGAUAUACAUACAACGUGGCUUAGCAGGAUUACUGAUAAACGGAAUGGCGUACAAACCUGCCAAAUCUGUUGGCAAUUAUUCCACCGCUAAAACCACCUAGCAUACCACCGAUCGCGAAUAUGCUUACGGCCACCGAGUACAGUUUCUUCACGGAGUCGUCGGAGAUGUCCUCCCCGUAUCGGUCCUUGUACACGUCUUUCAUGAAAUUCUCUAUGUUCUGAAACAUUCGGGUCGUGCUUUUUAUAGGAAAACUCGUAUCUAUUGUCGCAAGUUUGUAUUUAUCUAUGUGAACGAAGAGUUCGAUAUUUCUAGGGGUUGUUCUGGAAAGUCGAAGAAUUUAUUCUUUUUUCUUUGAUUUUUUGAGAGUACUUUUCAAGUAGAUAUCUAUGUAAAGAAAGAGUUUGAUAUCUUUAGAUGUUAUUCGCAAAACGUACCACUUCCGGCGCAUUAAUGACUCCAGUGUUGUAUCCGAACUGCAACAUUCCUAAAACUGCAGCCAAUAUUGCAUACGACAGGAAAAGUGUCAGUCCCUGAAAAUAUCACGUACAGUAUUAAUCGUUGAAAGAUCGAUUCAAGUUCGCGAACAAAUAUCAAAUCUCAAUGGAAAAAAACGAAGAACAUAACAAUAAAACAAUCGCAGCGUCAAACAAAAAAUAAUUCUUAUGACAAUAGAAAUCAUAAACGAUGAAAGGGUAAAUAAAAGAACACCAGAGAAUGUUAGACUGGUUUAUUACAAAAUAUUCGUCAAAUGUAACUAUAAAAUCAUGCGCUACAAUGAGACGAAUAAUACGAUAAUCAUAAAAAUUAAACGGGACGGUAUAACGAAACAAAUACAGCCACGAUACGCUGGUAUUAUGAUGAUGAUGAUUAUGAUAAUGAUGAUUGUACAAAACAAGCAGCCAUUGAAAGCGAUAUCAUACUUUGCUCGGUAGAAAAGAAAAAUGUCACGCCAAAAAAUAAGUAUUUUGGUUCGAGAUACAAGGAUCACCUGUUGUAAAAGUCUAAGUUUCCGCCGAUGGGAGUGUUCUUCUAGUCGAUCCACAUAUUCUCGUAACUCUUCUAUCUCCUCUUUCACCUGCUGUACUGUAUCGAGUUCGUGCUGCGUUGGAUUAGGAAAUGACGGUUUAAAAAUAGGAAGACACUUCCAAACGAGAGUACUAAAAUUCUAUAGCUAUGUAUAUUUCAAGAAUGUCGGGUCAAAUCAUUCGUCAAAAUAAUUAACCCAUUUCAGUGAUCUCUUCGCACGGAACGGUUGCUCCACAAGUUUCGAGGACAUCUGGAAUAUAAUAAAACCAAACCGACAAGACUUUCGAUCGAAUGCCAUUCUCUAUAAUUUAUUACACAUAAAUACGAAAUGGAGUUCAGAACUACAGCUUCAAAUUCAAAGUAGAAUACAAGCGAUCUUUCAAACGCAAAUAAAUGAAAUUAAACAAAUUUUAUAGCGUCUGCACUCACAAAAUAAGAUAAGAAACAACCUUCAUUCAAAACAUUCAAUUCGUACAGCUCAAAAUUCGUCAUUAAUUUCAAGUCGUUUAAAUGCGAUGUUUAAAACCCUGGUGCGAUUUUACGGAGUAACAUCCCGUUCGCCGGCACUCGAAAUCCAUGGGACAACCGAUCAAGCGAAAGAUCUCUUCAAACAGCGGGUGAAGAUGGAGACCGGGUAAUUUUGGAGCGAGCAAGCGACUCAAGGGGUUGGACACAGAUCGGUAACAAUACCUUGAUCGCGACCAUGUCCCGUUUGACCUCGCUGACCUCGCUCUGACAAGACUCUACGCUCUUGGUGAGCUCCUGCAGCUGUGUGCGAAUCUCGCAUAGGGCGACGGUCGUCUCCAGCUGGCGGUCACCCCGCUGCAGCUCGUCCAGCUUGGCACUCAAGUUCAUACUCAUAACGCUGACCUGUUUCUGCAGACUGCCCACACACAUAUACCCUAACGUGAAUCACGCUGGCUCGCCCCCGAUUUCAAAUGGAAAUCGACAACAAUUUGUCGGGCACACAUCGACAGACACUAGACACGAUCAAGGCUAAACUAUGUAGGUAUAUAUAUAUAUACCUAUAUGUAUAUGUAUAUAUGUAUAUGUAUAUAUAUAUAUAUGCCUAGGUGGUAUCCCUAAAAGAGAGGUCCAACUAAACUUCGCGCGAUACUGCCGAGCCUUACACACGUUUCUUUUUUAGCGUCACAGACAGCAAACAGACAGAAUGCGUACGACACUCAUACAACACCGCCGUGUGUAUUUUCGUUUCUCCCGGUGUUAUCCUGUAUGCUGUAUAUAUGCUAGAUAUUUGUACAUAUAUAUAUAUUUUUUUCUUUCCUACUUUCUAUAUAUUUUCUUUCAUUUUUUUUUCCUCAUAUCAGGCGCUCGUUUAUAUUCUCUCUUUGUCACGUGCGAGGAUAUAAAGCUCUAGCCAACGGUGGAGAAAAAAGAACGGAUGCUGUAACUCAACAAGUGUAAGUACACGGCUUGGCUACCGCCAUUUUCCUCUGGUGCUUGCUUUGAGAAAAAAAAGGAAAAGAAAAUUUGUCGUUAGCGAGCCAGCGGUAGCUCGGCAGCUAAGGAAGCGUCGGGAAUACACGAUUACGGCACGUUAACGGAGAGAAAGAUUCAUGUGUGUACACGGGGUGUCGGGUAAAAGUUGAGUUUCGAUUUUGGAAGAUUACGGCACCCCUCAAAACGAGCGAUAAAGUUUUGGUAAAGAAUUCUUGAUGGUUAAAUCGUGUUUUCCAUAUGUUUACUUCAUUUCAUUUUGUUCAGUUUGAGAGCUAGGAAGUAGAUGUUUAUUAGAAUCGAAAUAAUAAUAAUCGAAGAAGGUUGUAAUAAUCUUUUUGAAUGUAAUGAUUAUACUAAUGGAUCUUUCAACGCGUGCAUGCAUCGAUGCGUAAACGUGGCGAACAGUAUGAGCGGCCAUAUUGAAUAUCUACUUCGGAGGUUAUGUUUCAUCGACAAAGAUAUUUAUUAAGACAUUUGUCUCCGAAAGCAACGAGUUUGAAACUCACGUUUACUAAGACAUUUUCGUCGUCUAGAUGAGCACUGUAUGCCUCUAACCUUAAAUCGCAACUUUAGUCAACACCCUGUAUACAAUAUAUACUAUACACAAACAAAGAAAUAUUAUCAUAUAAAUAUAUAUUAUGAACCGCCUAUGUAAUAUGAAUAUACAUAGAAGUAUAAUAUAAUAUCGAAUCGAAAGGAAUAUAGCACAAUGUACAAACGCCACUAAAAGCAGGUCUAAAAUUGUGUGUGGGUGAGUGUCAGGGUGAAACACUACAGUGAUAUAUAUGUAUAUAUUUUUUUUUAAAUAAAUAUAUAUAUAUAUAUUUAUAUUAAUAUACACAUUAAACAUAGUUGUCAGAGCUGUGCACAUUAGAUGGAAGUUUGUGAAGGUGAAUAGAUGGAAACUAGUCCCCUCGUAUAACGGGUAUACAUAAUAGACCCUCCCCCGUUAGUUUCAACACAUCGGAAGGACCACCUGUUUUUUUUCUUUUUUUUGUUCUUUUUUUCAAUGGAAAAUGCAAUAUGAGUUUCAUCCCCCCUCUCCCGUUUCAUAAAGCAUUUUCCCCCGUGAGUAACGCGGCGAGAAAGAGAAAAAGAGAGAUAGAGAUAGAAAAAAAAGAGAGCUUCGGCACACGCGAAGCCUAAGUGUCUACGCAAAACACGAUGCGGGAAAUGUGCAAGUGGGUUGAGAAACAAUGAGAUUCCGAUGCUGGUGGUUAUAGAUCGCAAAAUGUAGGUAACGAAUGAAUGAUCAUAGAUGUAUCUCGAUCGAGGGAGAUUUUUUUGUUUCGAUUGAUUCCUUUCUUUUUUUAUUUUUGCAAACUUGUCAAUCGAUGUGCACAGCCAAGCAAAAAGGGUGAUUCAAAUCAACGGAAGAAUGGAGAACUAAAGAGAUCAACGGAAAGA